CAUAACUAACUGCGUUUAAAAUCAGCUGAAGUGACUAACGUUUCACUAGGUUUGAUGACAUCUUUUCUUUUUAAUGUUUACCACAUUGGAUUUUUUCAAUGCAAAGGUCAGCGUCUCCUUCUUCCAUCCGCAGCCGCCGCAUCUUGCUUUUCUUCUUCCUUAGGCAAAACAGGGGUCAUCUCCCCUUCUUUCUCCAUGAGAACAACAACACCCAUCAAGUCGGAACCAUCGCCUACGACCACGAAAGCCCUCCCUUUACGUCUUCUCUUCGUGCGUGAGAGAGAAACACCCUCAAUCAACGGAAGAACCAACUGCUCUUUUUCUUCAUCGCGGCAGACUCAACUUUGGCGGUG
rnacentral:lncRNA from 1 species